rnacentral:rRNA from 1 species
CCUACGGGUGGCAGCAGUGAGGAAUAUUGGUCAAUGGGCGAGAGCCUGAACCAGCCAAGUCGCGUGAAGGAUGAAGGAUCUAUGGUUUGUAAACUUCUUUUAUAUGGGAAUAAAGUGAGGAACGUGUUCCUUCUUGUAUGUACCAUAUGAAUAAGCAUCGGCUAACUCCGUGCCAGCAGCCGCGGUAAUACGGAGGAUGCGAGCGUUAUCCGGAUUUAUUGGGUUUAAAGGGUGCGUAGGUGGUUAAUUAAGUCAGCGGUGAAAGUUUGUGGCUCAACCAUAGAAUUGCCGUUGAAACUGGUGGACUUGAGUGUAUUUGAGGUAGGCGGAAUGCGUGGUGUAGCGGUGAAAUGCAUAGAUAUCACGCAGAACUCCGAUUGCGAAGGCAGCUUACUAAACUAUAACUGACACUGAGGCACGAAAGCGUGGGGAUCAAACAGGAUUAGAUACCCUAGUAGUC